CUAGUUGAUCCUGCCAAUAGUCAUAUGCUUGUCUCAAAGAUUAAGCCAUGCAUGUGUAAGUAUGAACUAAUUCAGACUGUGAAACUGCAAAUGGUUCAUUAAAUCAGUUAUAGUUUGUUUGAUGGUAUCUGCUACUCGGAUAGCCAUAGUAAUUCUAGAGAUAAUAUGUACAACCAACUCCGACUUCUGGAAGUGAUGCAUUUAUUAGAUAAAAGGUCGAUCUGGGCUCUGCCCAUUGUUUCGAUGAUUCAUGAUAACUUGACGGAACGUACGGCCAUCUUCCAGUGACGCAUCAAUAAAAUUUCUGCCUUAUCAACUUUUGAUGGUGGGAUAGUAGCCUACCAUGGCGGUGAUGAGUGACAGAGAAUUAGGGUUUGAUUCAGGAGAGAAAGCCUGAGAAACGGCUACCACAUCCAAGGAAGGCAGCAGGCACAAAUUACCCAAUCCUGACACGGGGAGGUAGUGACAAUAAAUAACAAUACCAGGCUCUAUAUAGAUCUUUAAAGACAGGGAUUUGAACCUCAAGCAGAGAUGUAUGGAGAUGAUUAAGGACUAUGAU
rfam:Cephalotus follicularis DNA, scaffold: scaffold610, isolate: St1.